UGGGGAAUAUUGCGCAAUGGGCGAAAGCCUGACGCAGCGACGCCGCGUGAGGGAUGAAGGUUUUCGGAUCGUAAACCUCUGUCAGAAGGGAAGAAACCGCACUGUGCUAAUCAGCAGUGCCUUGAGGGUACCUUCAAAGGAAGCACCGGCUAACUCCGUGCCAGCAGCCGCGGUAAUACGGAGGGUGCAAGCGUUAAUCGGAAUUACUGGGCGUAAAGCGCACGUAGGCUGCUUUGUAAGUCAGGGGUGAAAUCCCGCGGCUCAACCGAGGAACUGCCUUUGAUACUGCUUAGCUUGAAUCCGGGAGAGGGUGGCGGAAUGCCAGGUGUAGGAGUGAAAUCCGUAGAUAUCUGGAGGAACAGCAGUGGCGAAGGCGGCCACCUGGACCGGUAUUGACGCUGAGGUGCGAAAGCGUGGGGAGCAAACAGG
rnacentral:rRNA from 1 species